AUAUAUAUUGAAGUAAUUAUACCAAAAUAAAAAAAAACAGACUAGGAAUGUUAAAUUUAAAUGGGUAUUUAAAUUUGUUGCUGUGCUGGGGACUUUUAAACAAUGUAGGUAACUAUGGUAAAUAAAGUGGGAUGGUUUUUUUUGUGAAAAUGCGCACGGUGAUGAUGUCAUCAGGUGUGACCGAUAGGCACAAAAAGAGAGAGAGCAUGUGUUUUUUUUUCAGUUGGCGAGUGUCAGCACUAAUUAAAGGCAGGUAUAUCAGUCAUUUUUGUUUAAAAUGCAUAAAUAAUGCUUUGGAUAAUGUUUUAACAUUUGUAAAAAAAUCUUAUUUGGGUCAUCUUAGCAUGAUUAUUGAUGUUAUUGAAGUGGAUGAAGUGCGAUUGUAAACCCUGCAAGCUCCGAUGCGGAUGAUUUAAAGUGUGUUGAAAUUCUCCGGACUUGGUCAGGUUUUUUUCCUGAGUCUGAGCUAAGAUGUUAUCCUGAGAUGGCGAGCCACCCAGUUAGAGAAUCUUGAAGAGGACGAUUAGAAGAUUUUGUUUUUUUUAUGUUACAAUUGUUAUUCAGUGUUUGAAUUGUUCUGGUUAGUUGAUUAUUUCUCUGCUCAGAUUGACUUUACUGUGAAAUUGUUUUAACUUGUGGGUCACAAGUUUAACUUAAACGAGACCAGUACCCAAAAGCAAAGCUCCAAAAAGAGUCAUUAUAAGAUUAGAAUAGAAAAGAUAAUAUAAAUUAAUAAGAAAAUAAACAGGUAUCGAAAGGUAAUAAUUCCAAAAUUAGAGCAAGUUAACUAUUAAAGGAACAAAAUAGUGCAGAAGAAAUAUCUAGAUUAACUAGCUACAAAGGAGCUCAAGCUUAGUUUUAAAAAGGGAAGAAUUAUUUUACAUGGUCAGUGUUUUCAUUUAAUUUCCUAUUUUCCACCUUAAAGUAAACAAGCAACUUCAAGUCA